rnacentral:rRNA from 1 species
GAUGAACGCUGGCGGCGUGCCUAAUACAUGCAAGUCGAGCGAACAGACGAGGAGCUUGCUCCUCUGACGUUAGCGGCGGACGGGUGAGUAACACGUGGAUAACCUACCUAUAAGACUGGGAUAACUUCGGGAAACCGGAGCUAAUACCGGAUAAUAUAUUGAACCGCAUGGUUCAAUAGUGAAAGACGGUUUUGCUGUCACUUAUAGAUGGAUCCGCGCCGCAUUAGCUAGUUGGUAAGGUAACGGCUUACCAAGGCGACGAUGCGUAGCCGACCUGAGAGGGUGAUCGGCCACACUGGAACUGAGACACGGUCCAGACACCUACGGGAGGCAGCAGUAGGGAAUCUUCCGCAAUGGGCGAAAGCCUGACGGAGCAACGCCGCGUGAGUGAUGAAGGUCUUCGGAUCGUAAAACUCUGUUAUUAGGGAAGAACAAAUGUGUAAGUAACUAUGCACGUCUUGACGGUACCUAAUCAGAAAGCCACGGCUAACUACGUG